rnacentral:rRNA from 1 species
GUGGGGAAUUUUGGACAAUGGGCGCAAGCCUGAUCCAGCAAUGCCGCGUGCAGGAAGAAGGCCUUCGGGUUGUAAACUGCUUUUGUACGGAACGAAACGGUCCGGGUUAAUACCCUGGGCUAAUGACGGUACCGUAAGAAUAAGCACCGGCUAACUACGUGCCAGCAGCCGCGGUAAUACGUAGGGUGCAAGCGUUAAUCGGAAUUACUGGGCGUAAAGCGUGCGCAGGCGGUUUUGUAAGACAGGCGUGAAAUCCCCGGGCUCAACCUGGGAAUUGCGCUUGUGACUGCAAGGCUGGAGUGCGGCAGAGGGGGAUGGAAUUCCGCGUGUAGCAGUGAAAUGCGUAGAUAUGCGGAGGAACACCGAUGGCGAAGGCAAUCCCCUGGGCCUACACUGACGCUCAUGCACGAAAGCGUGGGGAGCAAACAGGAUUAGAAACCCCGGUAGUCC